rnacentral:misc_RNA from 1 species
UCCGCCGCUUCCUCCUCCUCCUCCUUUCCUAAAUUCCAAAUACCCCUCAAAAUCAACAACAUUACACCUUGCCACUCCUCCUCAAAGUUUCCUCCUUCCAUUGUCUGUGUUCUUACAGAAAAGCAAUCAAUGGCGGCUCAGGCGGUUGAUGAACCGGCGGCUAUUCAACGUCCCGAUUCGUUCGGCCGAUUCGGAAAAUUUGGGGGGAAAUACGUGCCUGAAACUCUAAUGCACGCACUUGAUGAGCUCGAGACAGCUUUCAAAUCACUCGCUACCGAUGAAGCUUUUCAGAAAGAGCUAGAUGGAAUAUUAAGAGAUUAUGUAGGCAGAGAGAGUCCCCUUUAUUUUGCAGAGCGACUUACUGAGCACUACAAACGUCCGAAUGGCGAAGGGCCACUGAUCUACUUGAAAAGGGAGGAUCUUAACCACACUGGUGCCCACAAAAUUAAUAAUGCGGUUGCCCAAGCUUUGCUUGCCAAGCGCUUGGGCAAGAAACGCAUCAUUGCUGAGACGGGGGCAGGUCAGCAUGGUGUUGCCACUGCUACUGUUUGUGCUCGUUUUGGUUUGGAAUGCAUUAUCUAUAUGGGUGCGCAAGAUAUGGAGAGACAAGCACUAAACGUCUUCAGAAUGCGCCUGCUUGGAGCUGAGGUUAGAGCAGUUCACUCUGGGACUGCUACACUCAAGGAUGCCACUUCAGAGGCUAUAAGGGAUUGGGUUACAAAUGUUGAGACAACUCAUUACAUACUUGGAUCUGUUGCAGGCCCGCAUCCGUACCCCAUGAUGGUAAGAGACUUCCAUGCAGUGAUUGGCAAAGAAACAAGGAAGCAAGCAUUGGAAAAAUGGGGUGGGAAACCAGACGUGCUUGUCGCAUGUAUUGGUGGAGGCUCAAAUGCUAUGGGACUGUUCCAUGAGUUUGUUGAUGAUGAAGAUGUUAGGUUGAUUGGGGUAGAAGCUGCCGGUUUUGGUGUUGAUAGUGGAAAACAUGCUGCAACUUUGACAAAGGGAGAGGUUGGAGUACUGCAUGGAGCUAUGAGCUACCUGCUGCAAGAUGAAGAUGGACAAAUAGUUGAGCCCCAUUCUAUCAGCGCUGGACUGGAUUACCCUGGAGUUGGUCCAGAGCAUAGCUUUUUGAAAGACUUAGGACGGGCAGAGUAUUAUAGCAUUACUGAUGAGGAGGCUUUAGAAGCCUUCAAGCGAUUGUCUCGGUUAGAGGGCAUUAUUCCUGCACUGGAAACAUCUCAUGCACUGGCUUACUUGGAGAAGUUGUGCCCUACUCUACCCAAUGGAACUAGGGUGGUGCUUAACUGCAGUGGCAGAGGAGAUAAAGAUGUUCAGACAGCUAUUAAGUAUUUGAAGGUUUAAUUUGAAUCCAUUUUGGAUUCAUUUUGUACUUUAGGUAACUGAGUGAAACAAAUUUGUUGUAUUGGUAAAAAAUAUGCCCAUUCUG